UAAUCCAAUGGCCUUUCCCUUUCCACUUCUGCUCUGACCCUGUACCUCUCCCACCCAGCUCUGCCACCUACUGCAUCAGAACACUUCAGGAUGCACCUUCCUGCUUCAAGUGUGACAGACUCUCAGGGUACAGGACAGGCUCAGAUGAAGUGCGUUAUAUAUUCAGUCUCGCUGUACUCAGCAUUCACUUGAAUCCGUUUCUUCAAGGCCUUCCCUGUUUUUCUCUUUUCAAGCAGGCCAGGUUUUUCUUUAACCUACCUACCUUACUGCUUGUAAAUGGUUUUCUCUUGCUUGGUUUCAGGAGGAGCAAGGUCUCUUUUUGAUUGAACUCCAGGUAACUCGAUGCUUCAGUUUGAAAAGGCCCUGACUAACAGGCUCUCCUGAACUUGCACAAAGAGCCAAAUGAGAUGGAGAUUGAGCAGGGCUAUAGUGGUGAGCUUCCAUGCCUCUUUGCUGCUGUUGGAGGACCUGCAGGCAGUCCAGAUAAGGAAAAGUUACUUCUGUUGGUUGGUACCAUAAAAGAAGCAUGGGAGGCCCUUAGAUGAACGACUACUAAGGAAGCUGACUUAAAGAAGGUGAAUUAACUUGCCUAAGGCUACGUAACUGGUUAAGUGGUGAGGAUGGGAUUCAGACUCAGCCUCAGUGCCAAGCUCCAAAGCCAGGAACUCCAUGGACAUAAUGAAACGACAAAGUCAACAAAGAACGCUGGUGUCACUGAUCACUCCAUUUUAGCAGCACCUGCAACCUGUUCUGCCCAAUUGAGUGCUGAUAGCACCUGGACUGAUGUCAAGCCGGGUGUCAUGGGUGGAUUUGUGUCCUUCAAGAAGACAUGUUUGAGUCCUGACCCCUGGUACCUGUGGAUGCGAUCUUAUUUGGAAAUGGUUCUUUGCAGAUGUGAUCAAGUUGAGAUGGGAUUAUACCAGAUUAAGGUGGGUCCUAAAUCCAAUAUGACUGGUGUCCUCGUAAGGGGAGGGAACACAGAGGCAGAGACACACGGGGGAGAGCACCACAUGAUGACAGAAGCAGAGAUUUGAUUGGUGCAACCACAAGCCAAGGAUGCCUGGGGCCACCAGGAGCUAAAAGAGGCAAGGAAGACAAAGAAGAGCCUUCAGAGUCAGUGUCGUCCUGCUGACACCCUGAUUUCAGACUUGUGGCCUCCAGAACUGUGGGAGAAUAAGCCACCCAGCUUGUGGCAAUCUGUUUACGGUAGCCCCAGGAAACCAAAGCUCCAGGACACAUGCUUCCUGGUUAACAGACUGGCAGUUCUUUCUGCUUCGGGUUCUUUUCACAUCCCUCCUUCC